AUAUAUUAUUUAUUAUAUUGUGUUGCUUGUGUCACGAAGUAUCUCACUUCCGGCUACUAGUUGAACAGAGUUGCAAGCAGGUUAAGAUGAAAAGGGAGCGGGGGAAAUGCGGUCCAGUGAAGAGCAGCAGUCUGUUGGUCCAGAUGUGGUCCAGGAAAUCCAGUAUAAUCUUCUGGUUCUCCUCUGCUCCGAUGAAGCGGUUCCACUUAUCCGUCUUCACUCGUAGCACACAGAAGGCCUGCUCCCGAAGAAAGUCCACCCUCUCAUCUGACAACACCACCCCGGCUUUGAGAGAGGGCUCCUGGGAAACACGCACUCCUCCAACCCCUCCACUGCCUAAACCUCCGCUGCUACUGCUCGUGCCUGCAGCCUCAGCCAUGAAUACUCAGCUGGCGGUACAAAGAAAUAAAUCCAAGACUUGAUUUGGUGGGUACGGGAUGUGAAACCGCACAUGGGAGAAUCGCAGAGAGGAAGAUAAAAACUCUGAGGGCUAUCAGCUUGAAAAGUGAUACCCAGCCUGAUGGGUAGGUUGACUUGUCACUGUGACAACGCAGUAUGGGCUUGCUUCAUUAUCCUGCAUGGUGGAGGCUGUUUGUGUAUCCCAGAUGGCCUGCAACCCUAUCCUGUAACCUGAGCCUUCAGCGGAGACCUUACUACAGUGACACCUUCAGGACAGCUCCAACACGGAGUUACAUAAGUUACAUGUGCUGAUGACACAACCGUCACCAGCCUAAACACCGACGGCGAUGAGACGGCGUACAGAGAGUAGGUCAGAGCCCUGACAUCCUGGUACAAGGACAACAACCUGCAUCUCAACAUCAGGAAAAACUUUAGGAGACUAAGAGGACUCCAUCUCCAUCAACGGGACGGUUCGUUGAACUUCACUGCAGACUGCUUGACACUCUGUUGUUUGUUGUUUCAU